GUGAGGAGGCAAAUAACGAAAGAGCAAGAUGACAGGAACUUUUAAAGAAAGAAAGGUUACUUCAGGGUGUAACUUUGGUUUUGCCUGUGUCUCAUACCACUAGUCUCUGCAUAUAGAGCUAUAUCUUCAUAUUGCCGCUAUAUAGGCCCCCAGGGAAUAUGCCAUCUGCCUUUCUCUAAUAUCAGAAUUCCUUCUACAUUAUCCUUGGGAGGUACUUACCCUCUGCUUCUUUAUUUUUACUGUCUGAAAACUCAGUUAUUCACAUGACCGAUUAACUUUUUAAAAAGAGUUCUUAUUGUUAGGAAAUGUAUCUCAUUCUAUGAAAUUGGAACACUACUCCAUGCAUUUCUGACUCCACACAGAUCUGCUUUAUUUUUCACAUGAUAGCUCUUUAGCUGUCUGUGAAAAAUGGCUAGUUCUUUUAUCUUCCCACCAGUCUUUUCUCUUUCUAGGCUCAAUGGAUUCAUUUUCUUCAACUAUUCCUCAUAGGACAAGGUUUUUAGAUUAUUUUUCAGGCCCAUCCCUAACAUUUUUGGGACUCGGGGUAGGGAUACAAAUUGCAGAUCUGCUAUGGUUUGGAUAUUUGACCCCUCCAAACCUAAUGUUGAAAUUUGAUCCUCAGCAUUGAAGUUGGGGCCUAAUAGGAGGUUUUUGGGUCAUGAGAGUGGAGCCUUCCUGUCUACAUUAAUGCCUUCCGUGGGUGGGGGAUUCAGAAAGUUAAACUCAACCACCUGGGGUUGAUCAAUACAAAAAUAAGACUUUUUUGAACUGUUCAUUUUAUUGACAUGUUUUAUGAAGGGAAAAGAUAAAGAAGACUGAAGAAUAUGGAAAAUAUUAGGUAAAUAAUAGCAUUUUUCACACCUAUUCUAAGAGUAAAAGUUUACAUUCUGAUGACUAUAUAUCAUCAGAUAAAUGCCACAUUACUUGAUUUUAUGAAAUGGCCAGUGUUAAGUUAAUUUGGAUGAAUAGCAAAUAAUGCUUUGGGUCAGAAGGGGUAGACUGAGAUUUCAUUGUUCAUUCUGAAAAAAAUUUGUCAGGAAAUCUGCAUUUUUUCUGUAAUGCUUUUUGUGUAGGAUGUGAGUUGGGGGUCACAGUACCUUAUUUUCACAUGAGAUUUAGUAGAGUCAGCACCAUUUAUUAAAAAGAUGAUCCUUUUCAAUUGCAUUGCAGUGUCAGCUUUGUUGUAAAUCAGAUAUAUAGAUUAUAUUGAUAUAUUUUAACUUUGUCAGUGUUUUCAACAUACACAGAAAAGUACAAGAUAAUAGGUCUUAGCACUCAUGUGCUCGUCACCUAAACUUAAUAAAAUUUUACAUUUUUCAUAUUUCCUUAGGAUAUAUAUUUUAAGGAAAAAUAUAUAGUAGACUAUUUUACAUAUAUAUUUUUAUAGUUUCAAAAUAUUUGGCACAAUGCUUAGACUACAUUUUUGAGAGUUAGUCAUUUUUUAUAGUAUAUACAUUAUUGGUGUUGUCAGGAGGACUUCUUUCAGAUCAAUAUUUAACUGUGGGUAUUUUGAAAUGUAAUAGUUUACAGUUCUGAAAUAGCAUGAAGUUCUUAAAAGGAAAUCUUAUUUAAAAACUUUAAUGUUAGAUAGUUUGUCAGUAAUCUCUUCUUUGAAUUAUUGCAAUAGCCUUUGUUUUUUUGUUUUAAAAAAAUUUUGAGAUAUUUAAAAACAAACAGGAAAGUACGGCAAGGAACAUGAACCAACAUACUUGCUCCAUUAAUUCCUUUUGCUUUACCAUCUUGCUUCAGGUUUUUUUAAAAUGAAAUAUUAUACAAUUGAACCCCUGAUAUUAUUUUCCUUUCUUUUUACCUAGAAGUAACAGUUAUCCUGAAUUUGUUGAGACCUCUAUUAUGUCUAUCCGUAAAAAAUAUAUAGCAUUAUAUGAUAAAUAUUAAAACUGUAUAUUGCAUAGUAUUAGACUGUAUAUUGUAUAUUAUCAUGUAAUAUUAAAACUUUAGUAUAUUAAAACCUUAUAUAAAAAGUAUAUCACUCUGCAGGCUUUUUUUCUCAUUUAUUCCGUGUAAUACAUGGAUACAGUUCAUUUUAACUAUUACAUAUAUUUUCAUUGUAUGAAUAUACUGCAGUUACUUUUUCCAUUAUCCCCAAAACAUUUAGAUUGUUGCAGGUUUUUUUUUUUUUAAUAUUAUAGACCAUGCCACAUUGAUCAGUCUUGUACACGUUCAGUUGUGCAUGUGUGCAUGACUUCUCUAAGGCAUCCGAAAAGUGAGUUGCUGGGUUGAAAGGUGUGUGCCAUUUCAGCAUUGGUAGAGUUAGACAGAGCCCUUUCUUAAAGAGGUUUUAUUAUUUUGUAUUCACACCAAUUGUGUAUUAGAAUUUUUGUCAUUUUGUAUCGCCUGCUGUGAGUUGGUUAGGUCAAAAAUCUUUUUAUUAUGGAAAUUCUCAAACAUAUACAAAAGUAAAUGUAGAAUAUAAUAAACUCCUAUGUACCCCCCAC
rnacentral:lncRNA from 1 species